rnacentral:rRNA from 1 species
GGGAUAACAGUUAGAAAUGACUGCUAAUACCGCAUAAGCGCACAGUGCUGCAUGGCACAGUGUGAAAAACUCCGGUGGUAUGAGAUGGACCCGCGUCUGAUUAGCUAGUUGGUGGGGUAACGGCCUACCAAGGCGACGAUCAGUAGCCGGCCUGAGAGGGUGAACGGCCACAUUGGGACUGAGACACGGCCCAAACUCCUACGGGAGGCAGCAGUGGGGAAUAUUGCACAAUGGGGGAAACCCUGAUGCAGCGACGCCGCGUGAGCGAAGAAGUAUUUCGGUAUGUAAAGCUCUAUCAGCAGGGAAGAAAAUGACGGUACCUGACUAAGAAGCACCGGCUAAAUACGUGCCAGCAGCCGCGGUAAUACGUAUGGUGCAAGCGUUAUCCGGAUUUACUGGGUGUAAAGGGAGCGUAGACGGUUGUGUAAGUCUGAUGUGAAAGCCCGGGGCUCAACCCCGGGACUGCAUUGGAAACUAUGUAACUAGAGUGUCGGAGAGGUAAGCGGAAUUCCUAGUGUAGCGGUGAAAUGCGUAGAUAUUAGGAGGACACCAGUGGCGAAGCGGCUUACUGGACGAUCACUGA